GACGAACGCUGGCGGCGUGCUUAACACAUGCAAGUCGAACGGUAAGGCCCUUCGGGGUACACGAGUGGCGAACGGGUGAGUAACACGUGGGUGAUCUGCCCUGCACUUCGGGAUACGCCUGGGAAACUGGGUCUAAUACCGGAUAGGACCACUGCCUGCAAGGGUGGUGGUGGAAAGCUUUUGCGGUGUGGGAUGGGCCCGCGGCCUAUCAGCUUGUGGGUGGGGUGAUGGCCUGCCAAGGCGACGACGGGUAGCCGGCCUGAGGGGGUGGCCGGCCACACUGGGACUGAGAUACGGCCCAGACUCCUACGGGAGGCAGCAGUGGGGAAUAUUGCACAAUGGGCGCAAGCCUGAUGCAGCGACGCCGCGUGAGGGAUGACGGCCUUCGGGUUGUAAACCUCUUUCAGCACCGACGAAGCGCAAGUGACGGUAGGUGCAGAAGAAGGACCGGCCAACUACGUGCCAGCCGCCGCCGUAA
rnacentral:rRNA from 1 species